AGUGAACGCUGGCGGCGUGCCUAAUACAUGCAAGUCGAACGGAGUGGCGCACGGGUGAGUAAUGUAUAUCUAAUCUGCCCUCCACUAGAGGACAACAGUUGGAAACGACUGCUAAUACUCUCUAGUUUAGGUUGAGGCUAUAUUGUAUCAGCUAGUUGGUGAGGUAAUGGCUGACCAAGGGGAUGAAGCAUAACUAGUCUGAGGGGUUGAGCAGUCAAACUGGAACUGAGACACGGUCCAGACACCUACGGGAGGCAGCAGUAGGGAAUAGUGCGCAAGGGGCGAAACCCUGAAGCAGCAACGGCGCGUGGAGGAUGACACUUUGCGGAGCGUAAACUCCUUUUGUUAGGGAAGCGGUACCUAACGAAUAAGCACCGGCUAACUCCGUGCCAGCAGCCGCGGUAAUAC
rnacentral:rRNA from 1 species